GUUAAAUUCAGUCAAAGGUCUAAAGAAUAUUUUUAGAUUCAGAUUUUUAAAAGAUAGUUGGUACUUUUGAAUGAGUGUCUUUGAAAUUACCUAUGUUCUACGUUGAUUUUUCUCUUUUCUUUUUUUUCUUUUCCUUAUGUAGUCCCAUCUAGGGUUUUUACAUUUCUACAAACAAGCAGAUGUUAGAGGUAUACUGUUUCAUGGCCAACUGUUUAAAAAUAUUUUUGGGGUAUUCAGUGAAAAGAUCAACUGGAAUAAAAUUACAAGAUGAAGCUCCUGAGACCCAGGGCUUCAUGACAGAUGAUGCUGAUGGCAGAGUCACUAUGACAGCGCUGGACCCCACCCAGACCCCUGAGCAUAUGAAUCAUGAAAUCCCACUGCCCCCCGGGUCCACCUGCAGCAAAUGUGAUUCCCCCUCUGCAGCCAGAAGCCAUUUCAGCAUUUCCCACUCCCAACUCAUCUCCACCACAACUUCUCCUUGGGGUUUUAUCUCCAGAGUCGCUUACUCAGAAAGCUCUUCUGAAGCCUUCUUUCUCCCUGGACACUUGAAAUAUGCUUGCCCAAUAAAAUUUCAUCUGGCAGUUUAUCUGCUUCAUGUCGCUUCCUUCUUUAGACUAAAAAAUAUAUCUAUUUGACUUGCCUCCUCUGUCAGAAUACACUUUCCAGGGGCAGAAAGGGAUUAUCUUUCUUCUGAUGCGCCUGCGGACAUGAAGUUCCAUGAAAAGUGGCUCCCACACACACAUCCAGGUCUUAGGGAAAGCUUGCAUGCAUAUAGCUACGUUACUGGAUGCUGUGAGCCAAUGAUAUUUCUUUUCCUGUUCCGUACAAUGCAUGUACUGAUCAUUCAAAGUAGCCACCGAGGGUUAUAAAAUGUCUUCUAAGAAACCAACACAUCUCUGUUUGCUGUUAUUUCCCCACAUGCCACGACUUCCUUAAAGUCAUUUAUAUAGCCUCUGUGUUUUCCUUUUCUUUCACACUGGCACUCAGGGCCUGAUGCAGGGCGGGUUCCUGGGAAUCAAAUGCCAAAGCAGAGUAUGGGGUUCAGGCUGCUCCUUUGGGACCAGCAUGUGUGGAAGGCAGAGGAGAAGCUGAACUGCAAGGACCAUCCAGGGAACCAGUGCCCACCUAGCAGGCAGCUCCAGAGUAAGGCUCAUCCAUCAGGGUUGAGACUCGAUGGACAAACACAGCCAGGUGGGGGGUCUGGGUGCCGCAUGUGUCUGCCAACCACAGUGGCCUGGAUCCUGUCUAUACCUCACACAAAGGGUUUUUGUGGGUUUUUGUUUGUUUGUUUGUUUGUUUGUCUCUCUUUUUAGGGCCACACCCACAGCAUAUGGAGGUUCUCAGGCUAGGGGUCCAAACGGAGGUGUAGCUACCAGCCUACGCCAGGGCCACAGCAACGUUGGAUCCGAGCCCC
rnacentral:lncRNA from 9 species